rnacentral:ncRNA from 1 species
GACAGCCCCCGAAAGGGGGAAGUUAAAAAUAAAAUUUGUCGUAUUGGUAGACUUUGAAAGUUAAUUUUCAAAGGUUGAAGAUUCGGCUGAUGUGCAUACAA